UACGUAGGGACCAAGCGUUGUCCGGAAUCAUUGGGCGUAAAGAGCGCGUAGGCGGCUUGUUAAGUCUUGCGUGAAAUCUCGGGGCUCAACCCCGAGCGGUCGUGAGAAACUGGCAGGCUAGAGUGCGGGAGAGGAGAGUGGAAUUCCUGGUGUAGCGGUGAAAUGCGCAGAUAUCAGGAAGAACACCCGUGGCGAAGGCGGCUCUCUGGAACGCAACUGACGCUGAGACGCGAAAGCGUGGGGAGCAAACAGG
rnacentral:rRNA from 1 species